rfam:Mesorhizobium sp. Root157 contig_3, whole genome shotgun sequence.
GGGCGUAUAGCUCAGCGGGAGAGCACUACGUUGACAUCGUAGGGGUCACAGGUUCAAUCCCUGUUACGCCCA